rnacentral:tRNA from 1 species
GUUACGUAGAGGACUGCAAAUCCUCGCACGCCGGUUCGAUUCCGGCUCGGGCCU